UACAGAGGGUGCGAGCGUUGUCCGGAUUGACUGGGCGUAAAGCGCACGCAGGCGGACGCGCGCGUGGGGUGUGAAAUCUGGCCGCUUAACGGCCAGGCGCCAUCCCAUACGGCGUGUCUGGAGCCGUGCAGAGGUCGGUGGAAUUGCCGGUGUAGUGGUGAAAUGCGUAGAGAUCGGCAGGAACACCCAGGGGGAAACCAGCCGACUGGGCACGUGCUGACGCUGAGGUGCGAGAGCGUGGGGAGCGAACAGG
rnacentral:rRNA from 1 species